rnacentral:rRNA from 1 species
GAUUAACGCUGGCGGCGUGCAUAACACAUGCAAGUCGAACGAUGACACUUAGUAGACUUCCUCGGAAAGACACCGAGCGGAGUAGUGGCGAACGGGAGAGCAACGCGUGAUUAACCUUCCUUACACAAGUGGAUAGCCUUAGGCAACGAAGGAAAAUAACCUAUAAAACAAUACAAGCGCAUUCUAGAAUUGGCAAAGUGAUAUCAGCGGAUGAUGGACUUGCGUCUGAUUAGCUAGUUGGUGAGAUAAAAGCUCAGCAAGGAAACGAUCAGUAGCCGGGUUGGGGGAAUGUACGACCCUCCUGGGACUGGGACACGGCGCAGACUUCUGCGAGUGGCCGCAGUGGGGAUUUUUGCACACUGCGUGAGAGCCUGAUGCAUCGGCGCUGCGUGAUUUAUAAGGCCUUCGGGUUGUAAAGCUCUUUUGUAUAGGAAGAUAAUGACAGUACUAUACGAAUAAGGUCCGGCUAAUUACGUG